UACGGAGGGUGCAAACGUUGCUCGGAAUCAUUGGGCGUAAAGCGUGCGCAGGCGGUUUUGUAAGCCAGAUGUGAAAUCCCCGGGCUUAACCUGGGAAUGGCAUUUGGGACUGCAAGGCUUGAGUGCGGCAGAGGAGACUGGAAUUCCUGGUGUAGCAGUGAAAUGCGUAGAUAUCAGGAGGAACACCGAUGGCGAAGGCAGGUCUCUGGGCUGACACUGACGCUCAUGCACGAAAGCGUGGGAGCGACAGG
rnacentral:rRNA from 1 species